GUAUUUUCUGGCCUGGCUUAUGCUCUCCAACCUCUAGGGGGAGCUCAAGGCUUCCCCUACUCAAGCCUCUUCUAUCCACCCCUGGGAAGAUAGAGGAGCUCUCCAGAAGCCUGAGGCAGUGAGGUACCCAGGGCUGGGCGGCCAUGGAGGACUUGAAGAACAGACAAAGAUCACGCCGAGGAAUUACAGAUAAACCCCACUCUAAUGGUAAGCAGCAUUUUCAGUGGUUCUAUUGUGCUCCGAUUACUUAUCUGAAUUAAAAUUAGACGGAUAUUUGGGGGAUGGCUAAAUGGAAACUCUGAGCACUGUUUCUUUAGUGGCUUUUAAGGAUAUUCUGUGUCUUCUUAAUGAACCUCUGUGAAUGACCUCAGUCCUGAGGAGAAUUAGGCUGUUUCAAACCAACCACUUUCCUUACUUUUCCCAAGGACUAAGUAACUAUUA
rnacentral:lncRNA from 1 species